rnacentral:rRNA from 1 species
UACGAAGGGGGCUAGCGUUGCUCGGAAUCACUGGGCGUAAAGCGCACGUAGGCGGAUCGUUAAGUCAGGGGUGAAAUCCUGGAGCUCAACUCCAGAACUGCCUUUGAUACUGGCGACCUUGAGUCCGGGAGAGGUGAGUGGAACUGCGAGUGUAGCGGUGAAAUGCGUAGAUAUCUGGAGGAAUACCGGUGGCGAAGGCGGCGUUCUGGACCAUUACUGACACUGAAUCGCGAAAGCUAGGGGAGCAAACGGG